AAUACUGUAAAACUCGACGAUGUUGCCUCGACGGUGUCGAAGACCGCUGGGAGGAAAUUUAGAAUCCGUGUUUUGUCGACGCUGGUCUGCGUCUACUGUAUUUCUCGUCAAAAAGAGGCGUCGAGAUUUCGUCCGUGCUAGUCACGUGUGUUACUAAACCGCCAGUUCAAAGAAAUACCCACUCCCGCAGAAAUAUAAUCUCCAAUACUAAUCAACCCUAGCCGCUCGCCCAUUCAUCUUCUCUCUCCUCCCUCCCAACUUGCAAAACAUCAUAUCUUCUCAAAUCCAUCAAUGGGCGAAUCCAAAUUGGUUUCGCUCUCCUAAUAUUAUGCUGCUUCAUCUUCCCCGCCUACUAUUCGCAGCCAUUGAAAUAGAAGCACGAAAGAGGAGUUCAUGGAAGACUGCUACUCAAACCGUUGUUCCGUCGUCAAUAUUACUUGCAUAAAUCUACUAUUUUUUAAACCUAAAUCCAAGAAGGAUAUUGUUGUAUGUUGAACUUAUUCACUCCAGGUAAUUUUUGAUUUAUUUUACUGCAAAUUUAAGGUUUUAUCUUCAAUUUUUCUAGGAUCGGCACCCUUUGAGAUUAAUUUGAUUCCCUUUUGUUUGGUUCCUGGUGAAUUUUAUAGAUCUGGUGUUGUGUUUUUUGAGUUUCUUCUUUUAUUUUUUUCAAAAAAAUUGGUUUUUUCUCUUCAAUUUAUCGAAUAUUCGGAAAUUAGGGUUAUUGAUUUUGUUUUUUAUUUUGGUUUGAUUCACGAUGAUGAGGAGGGACCCUGGAAAAUCCGUAGAUUACUUAUUAUGAAGGCAAACCUGAUAUUACAGAUGCUCCAAAGACCAAGUUCAGGUGAUACAUUUCUCACUAGGCUUUGAACUUCCUGGUGGCUGGCAGAAGGAUAAAGAUGCAAUGGUUCUCAGUGUUAUUCAGAUGGCUUUAAUACCACGCACGGCUCAAGGUCAUGGAUGGCUUAGGCCUGCAAUUGGGGUUGUCGAGCUUUCACAGUGUGUGAUUCAGGUGCUGCAAUUCUUAGAUAUCCUGGACUUUUUGAUGUUGUUUCAAUGUCAUGUUAUAGUAGUGUUAGUCUUCCACAUCUAACUUGUCAUAGUUCUAAUCUUGCAUGAGUGAUAGUUUCUGUAAAGGUAGUGCUAUACGUGGUAAUUUGAUUGAGCGAACAGUCCGAUCUAUUGAUUGCUCCUAGAUUUUGGUCUCUGUCAUUAUCAUGUUUGAUUCUGAGCUAGGCCUUUGUUGGUUUGAAUAGCUGGUUUUAGAAUACUCAGAUGCAGAUAGACAAAAUUCAGGAGUUGAUAUCUGCAGGAUCGACACUCCUUCAUGUUACAUUCUCAUUAUCCAAUUUCAAAGAAUGUGUAGAAUGAAUACUGAAUCAAGUGGUGAUGCAACUCCUUCAACUAUGAAGCUGAUAUUCUUGAACUUUGUAUUGAGUGGCCUUUGUUUUGAAGAUGACAUUUUAGAAUAAUAAGUUGGAUGACAUUUUUUCUGCUGCUUGGUUGCUGUUUUGGUUGCGUGUUUCUGUCUUGUUUGGCCUGCUGCUGCACUGCUGUUUUUGCAGGUGUUUGGUGUUGUUUUCAGCUGCACAAGUGCUGCUUCUUGCUGUUGCAGGGUGUUGGUUGUGCUCCUGAUGUGUGCAGGGUGUUCUGCAGGGAGUCCAGGUGCUGCAGUCAGGUCUACAGGGAGUGUGGUGUUCGAUUGCUGCUGUGUGCAAUCUUAUGUUGCGUACCCUUUUAUUGCGUUUGUUGUGUUUGGUUGUUAGGGAGUGGUCUGUACUCCUCUAACUUUUUCUGCUGUUUCGUUGUUUAGAUACUUUUGUUCAUACCUUUUGGUAUUAAAUUUGUAUUUUGGAGAUAUAUAGCUAGCUAAUUUACUAGUUUGGACAUGUGUAAACUUAAUUUGAUGAUAUGAUAUGACAAUUUGGAGCGAGCUAA